UACGUAGGGGGCAAGCGUUGUCCGGAAUUAUUGGGCGUAAAGAGCGUGUAGGCGGUCCGGUAAGUCAGCUGUGAAAGUCAAGGGCUCAACCCUUGAAAGCCGGUUGAUACUGUCGGGCUAGAGUCCGGAAGAGGCGAGUGGAAUUCCCGGUGUAGUGGUGAAAUGCGUAGAUAUCGGGAGGAACACCAGUGGCGAAGGCGACUACCUGGCCCAUUCUUGACGCUGAGGCGCGAAAGCUAGGGGAGCGAACGGG
rnacentral:rRNA from 1 species